rnacentral:ribozyme from 1 species
CAUCACAACCAUUUACGUUAGGCGGAGCUGACUGAGAGGGAGAAGAGAAGGGGAAAGAGAGAGAAAUGUGAAAUAGAAAAGAGAGAGAGAAAAUUAUUUAUUCUUGAAGAGGGAAAGAGAAAAAGAG